UAAAGGACCAUGCAUCCAGUA
rnacentral:siRNA from 1 species